GAUGAACGCUGGCGGCGUGCCUAAUACAUGCAAGUCGAGCGAACAGACGAGGAGCUUGCUCCUCUGACGUUAGCGGCGGACGGGUGAGUAACACGUGGAUAACCUACCUAUAAGACUGGGAUAACUUCGGGAAACCGGAGCUAAUACCGGAUAAUAUAUUGAACCGCAUGGUUCAAUAGUGAAAGACGGUUUUGCUAUCACUUAUAGAUGGAUCCGCGCCGCAUUAGCUAGUUGGUAAGGUAACGGCUUACCAAGGCAACGAUGCGUAGCCGACCUGAGAGGGUGAUCGGCCACACUGGAACUGAGACACGGUCCAGACUCCUACGGGAGGCAGCAGUAGGGAAUCUUCCGCAAUGGGCGAAAGCUUGACGGAGCAACGCCGCGUGAGUGUUGAAGGUCUUCGGAUCGUAAAACUCUGUUAUUAGGGAAGAACAAAUGUGUAAGUAACUAUGCACGUCUUGACGGUACCUAAUCAGAAAGCCACGGCUAACUACGU
rnacentral:rRNA from 1 species